AUAAGGGGCGCCUAAGACGCGGUGAGACCGCGGUCGGCUGAGACGGAGAGAUCCGGACCCUUGAACCUGAUACGGGUAAUUCCGGCGUAGGGAAGAGAAGAAUGC
rnacentral:ncRNA from 1 species